AGAGUUUGAUCAUGGCUCAGAUUGAACGCUGGCGGCAGGCCUAACACAUGCAAGUCGAGCGGUAGCACAGAGAGCUUGCUCUCGGGUGACGAGCGGCGGACGGGUGAGUAAUGUCUGGGAAACUGCCUGAUGGAGGGGGAUAACUACUGGAAACGGUAGCUAAUACCGCAUAACGUCGCAAGACCAAAGUGGGGGACCUUCGGGCCUCAUGCCAUCAGAUGUGCCCAGAUGGGAUUAGCUAGUAGGUGGGGUAACGGCUCACCUAGGCGACGAUCCCUAGCUGGUCUGAGAGGAUGACCAGCCACACUGGAACUGAGACACGGUCCAGACUCCUACGGGAGGCAGCAGUGGGGAAUAUUGCACAAUGGGCGCAAGCCUGAUGCAGCCAUGCCGCGUGUGUGAAGAAGGCCUUCGGGUUGUAAAGCACUUUCAGCGGGGAGGAAGGCGGUAAGGUUAAUAACCUCAUCGAUUGACGUUACCCGCAGAAGAAGCACCGGCUAACUCCGUGCCAGCAGCCGCGGUAAUACGGAGGGUGCAAGCGUUAAUCGGAAUUACUGGGCGUAAAGCGCACGCAGGCGGUCUGUCAAGUCGGAUGUGAAAUCCCCGGGCUCAACCUGGGAACUGCAUUCGAAACUGGCAGGCUAGAGUCUUGUAGAGGGGGGUAGAAUUCCAGGUGUAGCGGUGAAAUGCGUAGAGAUCUGGAGGAAUACCGGUGGCGAAGGCGGCCCCCUGGACAAAGACUGACGCUCAGGUGCGAAAGCGUGGGGAGCAAACAGGAUUAGAUACCCUGGUAGUCCACGCCGUAAACGAUGUCGAUUUGGAGGUUGUGCCCUUGAGGCGUGGCUUCCGGAGCUAACGCGUUAAAUCGACCGCCUGGGGAGUACGGCCGCAAGGUUAAAACUCAAAUGAAUUGACGGGGGCCCGCACAAGCGGUGGAGCAUGUGGUUUAAUUCGAUGCAACGCGAAGAACCUUACCUGGUCUUGACAUCCACAGAACUUUCCAGAGAUGGAUUGGUGCCUUCGGGAACUGUGAGACAGGUGCUGCAUGGCUGUCGUCAGCUCGUGUUGUGAAAUGUUGGGUUAAGUCCCGCAACGAGCGCAACCCUUAUCCUUUGUUGCCAGCGGUUAGGCCGGGAACUCAAAGGAGACUGCCAGUGAUAAACUGGAGGAAGGUGGGGAUGACGUCAAGUCAUCAUGGCCCUUACGACCAGGGCUACACACGUGCUACAAUGGCAUAUACAAAGAGAAGCGACCUCGCGAGAGCAAGCGGACCUCAUAAAGUAUGUCGUAGUCCGGAUUGGAGUCUGCAACUCGACUCCAUGAAGUCGGAAUCGCUAGUAAUCGUAGAUCAGAAUGCUACGGUGAAUACGUUCCCGGGCCUUGUACACACCGCCCGUCACACCAUGGGAGUGGGUUGCAAAAGAAGUAGGUAGCUUAACCUUCGGGAGGGCGCUUACCACUUUGUGAUUCAUGACUGGGGUGAAGUCGUAACAAGGUAACCGUAGGGGAACCUGCGGUUG
rnacentral:rRNA from 1 species